rnacentral:rRNA from 1 species
UAGGGAAUCUUCCACAAUGGGCGAAGGCCUGAUGGAGCAACGCCGCGUGUGUGAUGAAGGGUUUCGGCUCGUAAAACACUGUUGUAAGAGAAGAAUGACAUUGAGAGUAACUGUUCAAUGUGUGACGGUAUCUUACCAGAAAGGAACGGCUAAAUACGUGCCAA